rnacentral:lncRNA from 1 species
UGCCUGCCUUGGCCUCCCAAAGUGCUGGGAUUACAGGCAUGAGCCACCGCCCCUGGCUUCGCACACCUUUUUCCUUUGUGUCUGGGGGGCGAGAGGGAUCAGCUGUGGACACUAGGAUGGGUGUUGGGAUUCAAAGACCCCCAAGUAACCUGGAGCUCCCCUAAAAGCCACCACAAGCUUCACAGCUGGGUAUUUAAAGUGGAUGAUUGGAUGAAUCAUUUUCAGGUGCACAGCUUGGGGGUGUUUAGACAUUCAUGGUGUUGCGUAACCACGACCUCCAGGGGUGAGGGUGGGUAAGAUUUUAAAAAUAAAAUACAUAAUCUCUAACUAUAAAAGGGAGAUGUUUCAACGUGAAGAUUGAAGGGUAAAUUUGAGCAGUUGUUUUGGAAAAAAUUAGGCUCAUUUGUAAAGUUCAACAUCCACAGGCUCCAAAGCCCAACGUACCCCAGGACACAGAUUGUGCAAAUGCCAGAGAUGCCCCAAAGUUCCAGAUAGCAAAUGGAGACCCCUGACUCCAUCCCUGGCAAACCUAACACCUGCUUAGAGAGAAGAAUUCGGCACAGGGCAAUAUAGAAGGAAAUAGCAACCGUCCCACUGCCUGGUUGCCCCGUGAUGUCUUUCUUUCCCAGGAUGUAACUCAGGGCCCACAGCUGUGUAUGCCAGGUGCGGGGACAGGGCUGGCUGUGGCCACACGUGAGCUGGUGAUCCCUACCUGCUUCCUCCAGCUCCAGGCGUUUUCUAAGCACCAGCUUAUGCGACAGGAAUGACCAUGCAUCAGAACUUGGUUCUUUCCUGGGCUGAACGUGGGGCGGGGGUGCGGGGAGGGAACAAGGAUGUCACAGGACAUCUCAGCACGCAAAGGGCCUGUGGGCGAGGGUUGGGAGGUGAGUGUGGGACCCUGGUGUCCCCACGUGCUGCAGGCAGAUUCUUGCUACAGCCACCUCCAGGGGUGCUCCUGGCAGCCUCACUUCUGUCUCAGUUCCCUGGGUCCAGCCAAGAGUGUGCUGGGGUCCCUGGCCGUGGCAGGCAGUGGGGCGUGGGGAUCAGCCACGUGAAGAUCUGGGGCCAGCGGCCCAGGCCGAGGCCAUGGCAGUGCAAAAGUCCUGGGGUGAGACCAGGCAGAGCUGGGGGUGAGGCGGAUCAUGGUUAGGGGUCAUCAGAGGGGGGCACUUUGCACCCUUGGGCUCAGUGUUCUUUCCUUCCAAAAGUACCUGUCCAGUGUUGGGUGGCAGGUCCAGGCAGGCAGCAGAGAACAUGGGAGAAAGAGUCCCCACCCUCGGAGGCUUCUUUCACGUCCACGCUGGGAGAGAAUGACAAAUGCAGGAAGGGCAGGAGCAGGAUUGGGAGGGAAACUGAGGCAGGCUGGGGAUGGGGUGCCAGGUUGGGUUGGGGGUUAUUUUACACGGAUGAUGGAGCCGCUCUGCUGGGUGAUGUUCCUGCAGGAAGGAGGAAAUGAGCCAGGCGGAUGCAGGGAGGGGGCUCUUCUGGACUCAGAGGAGCAUCCUGAGGCUUCACCAUGAAAGUCAGAGUUGUGAGUGGGUGGAUGGGAACUCGGACAUGAGGAUGGAUGGGGGAAGGCUGGAGGAGCAGGACCCGGGGAGCUGGCAUCGAGGGCUCUUUCCUGGGGGUCUUUCUUCUGCACCAGCUCGAUGCCCUGGGGAGCAGAGCUUGUCUCACCCCACCCUCUUUUCCAUCCCUGUCUGCAGGCACCUGGGGCCCCUUCCUCCCUCUCAGACCCCACCCACCCUAUCUUCUUCCCUUCCUCAGCUGCUCAGCCUCCUGCUCUGUCACGUCGGCUCCCACACACAGCGGGACCAAAACUCCCAUCUUCCUCUGGAAAUCUCUCCUCCCAGAGCCCCUACGCUGGCCUGGGGGCGCUGUCUGCCUGGGUGGCCGCUGGGGGCUCUGAGCAACGUCCUGCACCUCCUUCCUGCCUGGCAGGGUGCCUGGCACAAGGUCGGCCUCAGUGAAAUGUGGGCUGAGUGAGUUCGUAAAGAUGACCCUGGGUGCCCCGGGUCCUAAGUUGUGAGAGUCAUGGCUGCUGUAGACGGGAGCCUUUGGGGCUGUCCCUCCAUGCAGGCGUCCCCCACCUACAGCUCCUCUCCCAGCAGCUGCACCUGGCCUCCGUGGGCUUCCCUUCUCUCGACAUCCACUCUCCUGCCUUUGAGGACUGGCUCCAGGACCCCAUCCUCGGUGGUGGGGGCGCAUUCCAUGACAGACGAGACAGCCUGGCCUGUCCGGGAUGGGGUGCAGGGAUCUUGUCUUUGACCCUGGCUCGUCUGCUUUGCCAGCGCCCAGGAUUUCCCACUGUGGCCCCACUGUAAUCAUGGA